rnacentral:misc_RNA from 1 species
CUAAUAUAUAUAUGAGUUUUUGAACGUAAAGGAGCAAUAUCAAGAGGGUUGAUAUUGCUCCUUUACUUUCUUUUUUAGUAGUCUUUUUCUUCAUAUUCAAAAUUUUUUUUUAUUUACUUCAAUAUAACAUUAUUUUAACAUAAGAAAAAGAUAUUGGAGUUUCGUACUUUUUUUUUACUAAUUUCUACGUUUUUAUGAUCAAUCCUUUCUUAGAAGACGAGUCUYAAAGACGAGGAAAAACUUAAAAAUAAUGAAAAAYAUCWGUAAUUUUUUU